GAAGGUUCCCGGGCAAUUGCUUCCCGUUAAAUCGGGGGGAGGAAAGUCCGAACACCAACGAGAACCGUGCUUCCUAACAGGAAGAUUCCGGCAACGGAAUAGACAGUGCCACAGAAAAGAUACCGUCCGCCUUAGGCGGAUAAGGGUGAAAUGGUGGGGUAAGAGCCCACCGCUCCGGUGGCGACAUCGGAGGCAGGGUAAACCUCACGGGGUGCAAGUUCAUGCAGAUUGUGCGCUUCUCGUCGCUAUACAAUCGGGUGGAACGCUUAGAUCGUGGCAGCAAUGUUACGGCCAGAUAAAUAAUUGCCAUUCGCCUUAGGCGGAUACAGAAUUCGGCUUACAGGGAACCUUUACAA
rnacentral:RNase_P_RNA from 1 species